UGGGGAAUAUUGCACAAUGGGCGAAAGCCUGAUGCAGCAACGCCGCGUGAACGAUGAAGGCUUUCGGGUCGUAAAGUUCUGUCCUAGGGGACGAUAAUGACGGUACCCUAGGAGGAAGCCCCGGCUAACUACGUGCCAGCAGCCGCGGUAAUACGUAGGGGGCGAGCGUUGUCCGGAUUUAUUGGGCGUAAAGGGUUCGCAGGCGGUCUCUUAAGUUAGAUGUGAAAGAUCACGGCUCAACCGUGGUAAGCAUUUAAAACUGGGAGACUUGAGUUAAGGAGAGGAAAGUGGAAUUCCUAGUGUAGCGGUGAAAUGCGUAGAUAUUAGGAGGAAUACCAGUGGCGAAGGCGACCACCUGGACUGAUACUGACACUGAGGUGCGAAAGCGUGGGGAGCAAACAGG
rnacentral:rRNA from 2 species